ensembl:lncRNA
AGAUACGAAUGCUAUGUGUUUACUGAUGUAUACGUUAGUUCAUUGACAGAUUGAUGUUACAACUAAUGGUCAUGAAAACUUUUUUUCGGUAAAUGUAGGCUUGUCAGUGAUGCGUAACGUUAUCUAUGCAGUGUUAGGUACAACUGUCAGGGCUGAAGCACUGACAUUAGGUCACGGCAGGAAUGUUUCUAGCAGUAGUUGAAGGACACCUAAGAAUUUGUUGUAAUGUAUAUUUAUGUCCAGUGCAGUACGAAAAUGUUUUAUGUUUUAAGAAAACAUUCAAGUACAUCAUUCAAGGGUGUUGUCUGUAGGAAUUUAUUUUAAAAAGUAUAUUUAUUCCAAUAAAUUGAUUCCCUUUUCUUUUUGAAUUAAUUUAAGUUUUACAUAAGUAAAAAGUGUGAAUGUUUUUGUAACUUAUUAUUACCUAUCAAAAAAAUGAUUUUACUGACCUUCACAAUAAAUUGCUUCUACAAAACUCUAUUUAAGUGUUUAUAUCCAAAGUAAAACGUCACGACCCGCCCACAUGCUGCAGCAGAACAACGAGAUCGUUGUCCGUUGUCACCUGUACCGGACCAGUUUCGGAUUUCUGUGGAGUUUUUGAGGGUCUUAUACAACGUGCAACCGAUGGAAAAACAGAGCAGUGUCCAUGAGGACUUGAAAAUGAGCAUAAUGCAGAUAUAUGUCUGCCGUGAACCAGAUGCAGUGGGCAUCAUCAUUGAGGGAAUCCCAGUGCUUACUGAUCUUGGAAAUCUGGCCAGGGCAUGUUGCCUGCUUCUGGGGAUGACAUAUGCUCUGAACCCAGUAUCCACCACAACUCUGCAAAAACAUUUGAGGUGUUCCAAAGACUUUUUGUGGGACUUGACACACUGCGCCCAAAACCUUCCUCCCGAUUCAUGACACUAAAAAACAAACUUCUGAGUUAGAUGGUCAAAUGCCAGCCUCGCACUCAUAAAUGGCAAUCUCAUUGUGUUUUUCAGAGUUUUUCAGAAGAUUAUUCUGAAUGUUUAUUUGUUAAUUGGCUGCAGUUCAGAAGUUCUGUUAUAUAAACCAGUUUAUGGUAAAAUGUUUUAAUUCAUACUAAGAUGUACUGUGCACUUACGGAUUGAAGCUGAAGUCAGUUAUUUCGUGUCAGAUGCCGUGAUCCGGCUUCCCUGUGUUUUAUUUUAAUGUCCUUGUAAGGAUAUAUGUAAGAUUAUGUUAAUUUUUUUUUUUUUUAUGUUUUCUUUGCUUCACCACUCUUGCUCGGUGGGCAGUUUAACUGAGAAAAAUGUGGUAGUCAAGCACAGACUUUUUCAGUUCCUGGAUAAGCCUCCAGCUGCUGGACACUUGAGCCCUUGACUCAGUUCUGUUAUGUCAAAUGCUGAGGUCAGAGGCCCUUUAUUUUAUUUCAUUGUCAAAUGUUUUAGUAGAAUAUGGCACAGAUUGUACAUAAAACGCGUUCUUGUAUUAGUUUAUGUUUUAAUACAUAUGAACUAAAGUGUGCACUAAAGUCAGUCCUUUUAUGUAAAUUGCUCAGGUCAAGAGUCACUGUAUUUUAAUGUCAGUGUUAAGAGUACACAGAUUGCACUUUGAAGGUGAUCCAUGCUGCACUUAAAGAUGAGGUCAGAAGUUUCUGUAAUUUUUAAUGUUAAAAUGUUUACAUUACCAUUAUUUUGUUACAUUAACAUUAAAAUUGAUUACAGAAAAUUAGUUCACCCAAUUGUUUGUGAUAAACAUUGGAAUUGGAAACAAAUACAUCUCUUUCCUUAUUUAUUAAAGUUAUGGCGAUGCUAACUAAUUAUUUCAAGUGGAUUGAAGAAAUAAUUUUUCUAAAUUAAUGAGCGUAAAUGAAUUAAAAUCAAAAAGUUUAUUUUUUUAUUUUAAAUGUUACUUAUUUUAACUAAGUAUGAUUUGAAGU